rnacentral:rRNA from 1 species
UACGAAGGGUGCAAACGUUGCUCGGAAUCAUUGGGCGUAAAGCGCACGCAGGCGGCAUUCUAAGUCGGAUGUGAAAUCCCUCGGCUCAACCGAGGACGUGCAUCCGAAACUGGAACGCUUGAGUAUGGAAGAGGGUCGCGGAAUUCUCGGUGUAGAGGUGAAAUUCGUAGAUAUCGGGAGGAACACCGGUGGCGAAGGCAGCGACCUGGGCCAAUACUGACGCUGAGGUGCGAAAGCGUGGGGAGCAAACAGG